CAAUCAAGGCCCACAACACUCAUUCUUAUAUCUACUGUUACUGAUUACAGAUACAAAGAAACCAUUAGUACAGCUUAAAACUAUCAAAUAGAGCUUUAUAGACUCCAAUGUUUAUGGCACACUUACAUGGCAUGGUAACUAGAGAUUUACUACUACAUAAAUGUUCUUCCUGCUCUUCCAUUGUGAAGCUCACCAACUCACAUGAA